rnacentral:rRNA from 1 species
UACAGAGGGUGCAAGCGUUGUUCGGAAUUAUUGGGCGUAAAGGGAGUGUAGGCGGUUCGAUAAGUCUUCUGUGAAAUCUACGGGCUAAACCUGUAACGUGCAGAAGAUACUGUAGAGCUUGAGUGUUGGAGAGGAUAGUGGAAUUCCCGGUGUAGAGGUGAAAUUCGUAGAGAUCGGGAGGAACACCAGUGGCGAAGGCGACUAUCUGGCUGACAACUGACGCUGAGACUCGAAAGCAUGGGGAGCAAACAGG